GACGAACGCUGGCGGCGUGCUUAACACAUGCAAGUCGAACGAAGUGGCGAACGGGUGAGUAACGCGUAAUCAACCUGCCCUUCAGCGGGGGAUAACAGUUGGAAACGACUGCUAAUACCGCAUACUGAAGGUGGGGAUUGCGUCUGCUUAGCUAGUUGGAGGGGUAACGGCCCACCAAGGCGAUGAUCAGUAGACGGUCUGAGAGGAUGAACGGCCAAAUUGGGGAUGAGACACGGCCCAGAAUCCGAAGGGAGGCAGCAGUGGGGAAUCUUGCGGAAUGGACGAAAGUCUGACGGGGCAACGCCGCGUGAGUGAUGACGGCCUUCGGGUUGGAAAGCUAUGUUAAUCGGGACGCGGUACCGGAAUAGAAAGCAACGGCUAACUACGUUCCAGCAGCCGCGGUAAUUC
rnacentral:rRNA from 1 species